UACGGAAGAUCCGAGCGUUAUCCGGAUUUAUUGGGUUUAAAGGGCGCGCAGGCGGAAGAUUAAGUCGGUGGUGAAAUUUUGCAGCUCAACUGUAAAAGUGCCAUUGAUACUGGUUUUCUUGAGUGUGGAUGAAGUAGGCGGAAUUUGUGGUGUAGCGGUGAAAUGCAUAGAUAUCACGAGGAACUCCGAUUGCGCAGGCAGCUUACUAGGCCAUAACUGACGCUCAGGCACGAAGGCGUGGGGAUCAAACAGGAUUAGA
rnacentral:rRNA from 1 species